CACUGGACUUUUGUUAACGGAGGUUAACUGGGUUUAUUAAGCAUGGAGUACACAGGAAUGGGUGUGGUUACAUGGAGGUACAAAGAGUGGAUCGAGUGUUUUGACAUGGGGCGGCGGCCGACCAGCAGGAGAGGAGCGGGAGAGCCAGACGGAACUUGAUAUGUCGUCAGCUCAGAGUACAUGGAGGAGGAGGGCUGCGCAACGGUGGGAGCGGAGGCGGCGGAGGUUUCAGAAGGGGCGCGUGGCCAGCACGUGCAGGAUAGUGGCGCCAUCUCUUGAGCCUUCUUGUAACAUCCUUCCUUUUUUGGUGAUAACCUUUCAAUCGAGGACAAAAUCCUCGAAACUCUUUGGAAGUGUUGUGUUUCUUUGAGGUCUGAUGGCGGUGCGGUUUGCCUGAUUUGUCGCGCUGAGAUCAAGGAAGAGGAGGGCUGCCGCGACGGUGGGAGCAGAGGUUUCAGAAGGGACGCGUGGCCAGCACGUGCAGGAUGGUGGCGCCAUCUCUUGAGCCUUCUUGUAACAAUAACCACUCUCCAAUUCGACUCUUCACAGAAGAAGACUGAAGAGACAAGAACAGGAAGAGGAAGAAGAGAACGAAGUGGUCAAGAUGGAUCCCUGUAAAUAAAUGAGUGUAUUUUAACACGUA